rnacentral:rRNA from 1 species
AGGACUAACGCUGGCGGCGUGCCUAACACAUGCAAGUCGAACGGGGUAGCAAUACCCAGUGGCAGACGGGUGAGUAACACGUGGUCAACCUACCUCUGUGUGGGGGAUAACUAGCCGAAAGGUUAGCUAAUACCGCAUACGAUCGUUUUGAGGCAUCUCGAGACGAUGAAAGGAGCAAUCCGCACGGAGAGGGGACUGCGUCCCAUUAGUUAGUUGGUGGGGUAACGGCCUACCAAGACUCCGAUGGGUAGCUGGCUUGAGAGAGCGACCAGCCACACUGGAACUGAGAAACGGUCCAGACUCCUACGGGAGGCAGCAGUGAGGAAUUUUCCGCAAUGGGCGAAAGCCUGACGGAGCGACGCCGCGUGUGGGAUGAAGGCCUUGGGUCGUAAACCACUGUCGAAGGGGACGAUAAUGACGGUACCCUUGGAGGAAGCCCCGGCUAACUACGCGCCAGCAGCCGC